rnacentral:rRNA from 1 species
AUUGAACGCUGGCGGCAUGCCUUACACAUGCAAGUCGAACGGCAGCACAGGGAGCUUGCUCCUGGGUGGCGAGUGGCGAACGGGUGAGUAAUGUAUCGGAACGUGCCCAGUAGUGGGGGAUAACUACUCGAAAGAGUGGCUAAUACCGCAUGAGAUCUCUGGAUGAAAGUGGGGGACCGCAAGGCCUCACGCUACUGGAGCGGCCGAUAUCAGAUUAGGUUGUUGGUGGGGUAAAGGCCUACCAAGCCUGCGAUCUGUAGCUGGUCUGAGAGGACGACCAGCCACACUGGGACUGAGACACGGCCCAGACUCCUACGGGAGGCAGCAGUGGGGAAUUUUGGACAAUGGGCGCAAGCCUGAUCCAGCAAUUCCGCGUGCAGGAUGAAGGCCUUCGGGUUGUAAACUGCUUUUGUACGGAACGAAAAGGCUCUGGUUAAUACCUGGGGUCCAUGACGGUACCGUAAGAAUAAGCACCGGCUAACUACGUGCCAGCAGCCGCAGUAAAAC